rnacentral:lncRNA from 1 species
AAGCUUAGAAGUUCUGAUGGCAAGACCCUUGGCCAUCCAUAGAAUGCUGAUCACUUGAAGUACUAUUACAAGUAAACUCACAUUGUACAAGUGUUAAGCUUCAGCCGUUUGGCAUCCUAUGUAACGAAGACUAUUUGGCAUGAAUUCAAUAAAUAGGUGAUUUAGACAACUUGAUCAUAAUCCUCUUACAUUCCUAGCAAUGAAACACUCGGGUUCAAAGCUUCAACAUGAAUGCUUCCAACAUGAAACGAAGUCUAAGUAUAUGUCAACAAGACUAUACAAAUAAACGAACAGCUUCACAGUAUAUUCGUUCAAUCAUACAUUCCAACACAUUCAUACAUAAGCCAACUGUGCUUUGAAAGGGUUCAACAUAUUUUAUGUCAUUCGACACUUGCUACAAUGUGCCUAGAUACCUUGCCCUUAUUCUCACCAACCAGGUGAUGAAAUGUACAACCCGUACUCUCCUUCAUGCCACCAACUAAUGUACAACCCAUCCUUUAAUAUCAUUUGACAACUUGCCAUUCAUGCCACCAACCAGGUGAAGAAGGAACUCAUCCUCGUGCCACCAACUAGGUGAUGAAAUGUGAUGAAAUGUGGUGAAGGAACUCAUCUUCGUACCACCACCUAAGUGAUCAAAAUAACUCACCAUUCAUUACACCUACAAGAAGACGAGUGGUACAACUUGUACAUGUCAACUCUUAGCAUUCACAAAUAAUCAAAAACCCUCAAGCUUGACAACUCAAAUAGGGGAGCACUUAUGCGCAACAAGAGUUACAGUCACCAACAAAGUCUUAUUACAAGCCAACAAUAACUUCAGUGCAUGGCAUACGAAGAUCAAGCUAUUUAGCCCUCUUGCUUCUGCUUCAGACAUUUCCCCUCUGUAACAACGCAAACACUACAACUCGUAGAAAGCUUCACACAUUCUUGAUCAAGACAGUGUGAAGCAAAACAAAUUUAUAGUGCCAACAAGAGCUUCAUCAAUGGAGGGCAACCACAAUUCUCAAAAG